AAUGCAUGGGGGAUACUGUCGGAUGCGUGCGCAUCUUGCCGCCUAGUCGAAAGUUCCUUCGGGUAUCUCCGUCAGACUGCCCCUGUGAAAGCAAAGUGGCAGGAGGAAGCCGAGUCAGGACCGCUAUCUUCGUUCCCAGACACCGGACAGAGCGGGAGAAGAUGAGACUCGCCCUUCAUAGGGGUCGACGCGUCGAAGAGGUUCUGGGAUCUCCUCGGACCUGCACAACGGCCCAGGGGAUGGCGUUGAGAGGGCUGGUCCCUCUCAAUGCCCGAAUUAACUUAGGAACGACUCCUCUAGAAUGGGAGAAGACGCAGGAGUGCUCCGGUAGUAAUUCGAAAGAGAUCAGGGGCAUCCUUGUUGGGCGUCAGGCGGACCACCGUGAGAUUUUAGUCGGCCCGAUACUAUCCCGCCGCUUCCUAAAAGAGCGGCGGGGUGUUCAUGAGAAUUUCCCCACGUAUAAAAAGAAGGAAAGGUCAUGUUACGUACAGAUAAAUUAAAAAAUGUAAGCGUACGUUAAUGUCAAAAUUUUUAAUCAAAUGUUUCGUUUAAAAGUGUUAGAAGUAUAAUCUAGGAAGGGAAAUAAUCAUGAUAGAGAAUAAAUUUUAAUACUUGCUUCUUUGAAUUAAAUAGUAUAUUUCUUAAACAAAUAAGUAGCCGUGUUAAAUUAAAUAUCUAAAAAGUUUUAAAAUUAGGUAAGGGUCUAAAACUGUAUUCAAUGUUCAUGGUUAUGAGAAAUUCACAGAAUCGGCGAAGUAAUUUUUGAUGGACUUAACGAGUGAUUUCUGACCAAUUCAGCUAGAAGAACUAUCGGAAAUUAACGUCUAAUUAACUUACUUGGUAUCUAGUACAUGAAAUAUAUGGACUAUAAUAGUUGCCCAAUAAAAAUAGCAUUUUAUGAAAAAUUCUGGAACCUAAUGGCAACUAUAAUAUUUUCGAUAUUAGAAACGAUCGUAUAUAUUCUUAUAAUUUUGUCAAUGUUAAUAAAUUCUGCUUAUAAUGCUCUAAUUCAGAAUUAAAAAUAUAUUCUUUUAAAUUUUAUAUGUAGGUAAUUUAAUUUUUAAUAAUGGUGUUAAAUAUAUAAUUUUUAAGUGUGUCAAUUGUUAAAAUUUGUAAUUACUUUUUGUGAAAUGAAAAUUACUGCUACUAAGAUACUGUAGUAAAUAAGUGCCAGUAAGAUACUGUACAAUUGUAGGAAUGAUCAAUAAAAGAACAAAGACGAAGGAAA